rnacentral:rRNA from 1 species
AACGUAGGACGCAAGCGUUAUCCGGAGUUACUGGGCGUAAAGGCGCGGGCAGGCGGCUCGAAACGUCUGAUGUGAAAUCUCCUCGCUCAACGGGGAGAGGCCAUUGGAAACGGUCGGGCUGGAGGCAGUAGAGGCAGGCGGAAUUCCGGGUGGAGUGGUGGAAAUGCGUAGAGAUCCGGAGGAACACCAGAGGCGAAGGCGGCCUGCUGGGCGUGCACCUGCGCUGAACCGCGAAAGCCAGGGAGCGAACGGG